rnacentral:lncRNA from 1 species
AUGGCUGGGAGCACUGAGAGGCCUUCUGCGGGAGACUAGACGCAGCUCUUUAGAUGAAGGCCUGUUCCAUUGCUCCCCACUGAGGAUCCCGAUGAAAAGAGGCAGUCCAUGGUUAAGGCAUUUAUUGUCAUGGCGGAAAGUGGAUGAGUAAAACCAUACCCCAGUUUCUCAGGGCAGGCCUGAGGUUAAAUGCCUUUUGCAGGGAGGAGUGUCUGGGAAUGGGGGGUUUAAUUGGCUGAGCCCUUCAGGCCAUUAGGUACCUCAUUAAGAUGGAGCUCUGUCUUGGGGCUAUGUGACCUGUGGUCACAUUUUUUACCUGUGGAGGGGCUUGGGGGUUGCCCUUAUGUGAUUGAUGGCCACAGAAUUAUGGAGUGGAGAGCUUUGGCCUCGUGUCAGGAGCCUGGUGUCUAGGAAUGUGGCAAAACACCUACCAUCCCUUGCAGGAUUAUCCCCUGCGGGGUCACCAGGGUUUUAAACCUAGCUCAACCAGAAACCAGGCUGCCUUUUAUGGUCUCACAUAAUUCUAUGUCUAUGUGUAUGUCUGUGUCUAUAUAUGUAUAUAUGUGAAGUGUUUGGAGCUUGUUGAAACUCUCUUCAUCCACCAAGUCUGUGUGUGUGUGUGUGUGUGUGUGUGUGUGUGUUCCCUCACCCUUCUCACUGGCCCCAUACAAUCAAGCUUUGUUCCUUCAGAGAAGAGUCUGCUGAGUGAUCAAUUGCUGACUCUAUAUCCUAUUUCAGUUUACCCUGGAUGUCAAAGCUGGACUUUGACAGAAUGGACUAGCCAGUUUUCUGCGGGGUGAAAUUAGAUAAGGAAGUAGAAUGCUGUAUUACCCUAUCUCCCACCUCCCUAUAUUUCUUUUACCUAAUUUUGUUCUAACCUUAUACAGUACUUUAUCUCCUUUUGCUUCACUUACUUUUCUACCCAGUGGGUCAGUAAGUAAGUAUUUAUAAAGCCAUGGUUGUAGAUUUUUGUGGCAAAGAAGAUAGGUCUGGCAUACAUUUGGGGGUUACUUAAAUGUUAAUUUCAUUGUUCUUGGACAACAAGGGUAAUUACACUUUUUGGGUUCUGUCAUUUUGAUCUGUGGCCCAGAUAUUAGUGUUUGAUGGGCAUGUUGCUUUACAUGGCUUUGCUUCUUGAGUUUUGGCUCUGACUGCUAGCGUUGAAUAGAAAUUGUCAUUUGACAUACAUACUGGUGUCUUCUAAAUGCCAAAUACAGCCUCUUCUGUAACGUAUUGUGGGAAACUGUAAGGAGAAGGAAUAUUUCAUUCUGGAUUACAGCUAAGGUGAACUCUUGUUUUUCUGUCAGUCAUUUGCAGGCUGCAGACUUAACAAAUGAUUUGAGCAAAUUACUUACCUCUCCUGGCUACAAUUUUGUCAUUUGCAAAGUGGGCAGACUCUUUAAAUGAUUAAGAGAGUCAGUGUCCGUAAACUAUAUAAUAGUGUCCGGAGUAAGAUUGCUUUUUAAAAGGAAGAUAUUCCGUAGAAGUCUGUUCCCUUUGUGAUGGCCAAUCCUGCUUGUCAUCUUGACAAACUUGGAAGAAUGAAACUCAAUUGAAGAAUUUGUCUACAUUAGAUCUGCCUGUGGGCAUUUCUGGGGUGAGGGGGCAUUUUUAAAAUUGUUAAUUGAUGUUGGAGGACCAAGAUCUCUGUGGGUUGUACCAUACCUAGAGAGAUGGGCCUGGGUGGUCUAAGAGAGGUCACUGAAUGUGAGCCUGGGAGUGAGCCAGCAAGCAUGUUUUACCAUGGUCUCUGCUUCAGUUCCUACUUCCAGGUUUCUACAUUGAGUUUCCUCCCAGGCUAUGAAAUCGAAGUAUAAGAUAAAAUAUUUCCUUUUCUUCCCAGCUUGCAUUUGGUCAUACUUAGUUUUUAACACAGCAACAGAAGAGCAAACUAGGAUCUGUCUUUGAAAUUCUUUUUUUUUCCUUUCAAAUAUUUAACUUUUAACUCACUGCUACUUAUUCUGUAAUUAAUUAUUUCUCAGAAAUCAGUGAUGAAAAGUAAUUGGAUAUUUCCUGAAUGAAAAUAUAUUGCUGUUAUCUGUGAUAAUUUUAUGACUAACUAGUAAGGAUUUACAAUAAUAUAUUUUAAUAUAUAUGUCAAUAGGAACUUUUUAAAAUAUAAGAAUCCCUGUAAUAUCAUAUCCAUACUUUUAUAAAACCUUUUAUUGAGUCUUUGUGAAUUUCACACCAUGCACCCCAGUCCCAUUCACCUCCACUUCCCUUUGGAUCCUCCUCCUUCCUUGCAACCUCUCCCCCAAAAUAAAAUAAAAAAUAAAAAUG